rnacentral:lncRNA from 1 species
ACUUCAUAUUUAGAGUAUGGAAUUCAUAAACAUGAUGAAACUCAAAUAUUUUCAACAAGAUUGUAUUCUACCGAAGAACAUGGUUAUGCAUUUUCUCAAGAAGAGCAUGGCGUUGUUCCGCAGUCUGAAAUGAUCCGUGCCUACGACACAACAAAGAGCAAACCACAAGGGGUGUGAACGGUCCGAAGAUGUUACCAUAGGAAAAACGUGUCCCUUUUUUUGGUCAUAGGGAAUCUUUUUAUGCAUUCCAUUUUGCAAUCUUACGAUCUGAUUGUUAUGAGUGUUCGAAAGGUUUCGGAUAUAGGGUACAAAGUGUUGUUGUUAUGUGGCAACUUCUCGGUGCCAUUGCCAUAUGUCAAUGUACCUGUACCUCUGUGAUAAUGUACCUCCAUUAUUUCGGUGUGACGAGACGAUACAGUAACUGCCCUCAGACAACCUUGAAGCUGUCUUCUGGAAGCGUCGUAAAAAACAAAUAUAUAUAUAUUCUUUGUGUUUAAAGUGAAAAAAACGAGCACUUUUUUGAUAUCACAAAAUUGUUCUGUUAACGGAGAUUUUAAAAUGGUUUGUCAAAAUUCGGUUAAAAAUAAGGAAAACAAACGAACAGAAAAAAGUCCUUAUGCACAGGCGAUUUUCACGUUAUAGGCGAAUUCCAAGUUCUGGCACCACACCACGUUAUAAAGAAUUUAAAAAAAAAACUGCCGAUUAGUUCUUUGAUAUUGCUGCGAUUUUUUGUAAUUUAUUUAAAUAGGAUCGCAACUAAAACACUAAUAAUUUGCGUUUUUCUAGUCACAUAUGGCGUUUGUUGUUUUUAGUGUUAUAUACGUUAAUGCAUUGCGUGUUUCGUUGUGUUUAUCUGUUGUGAUUUUUCACUUCAUCGUUUUUUCAUCAGAGGAAGCUUUUACUCUUUCAGAAUUUAGAGAUGAGGAAGUAAAUAAAAAUAAAAUCUAAAAAAAUAGAUCCUAGAAUGUCAAUAAAUGUCGGUUCGAAUGUUAAACAUUUAUAAAUUCUUUGAUAUCUCGGUAGUUGGUAUUUUUAUAUUUAUCUUUCCGUAAAGUGGCAAAUUUCUGUCGUUCACCACAUAUUCGGUUCUCUGUUGAGAAUCGGGAAAAAAGUUUAGGUGUAGUUGUUUGUUACAUUUGAAUUCGAGGGAAAAAAAUGUUAAACGAAUUGUCAUUUUUUGAUAAAUGAUUGUUAAAUGUUUAAUUUCCAACACGAUCAACAUUGUAGCUCCGUUUAUUAUAUUUUGGGUUCGGGAAGUAGUAGGAAAUUUUUAUAAAAAUAAAGAAAAGUAUCGACUGAAAAUCCGACAGCCAUAAUAAAAAAGCCUAGGGGAUGGAAGAUAAUUUAUAAAAAAAGAAAUUAUAUUUCUCCUAAAUAUAUAUAAUAUAUAGCAUAUGCAGUAAUAUCUGUAAGUGUUAUACGGGUAUCUACAUCUAGUUAUGGCGCGAAGUAACGAGACAUUUUCGAUUUCUGUUCGUUCGUUACGUACGUAACUAACACGUUACGCAUAUUCGAGAGCUUAUUUUAACGUUGUUGUUAACAAAUUUACUCGUUGUUACGAUAUUCGAAGCGUAAUUUUUAUUUAAUCGAAGCAUAAUAGUUAACGAACUAAAGCGUUACGGAAAUAGCAAUUGCCAAAUUAAGAAAGUUAAUUUCAUUAGAAAUUUUAAUGCAGUUACCCAUACUUAGUUUCGAAAUAUGCAAUCGGAUUAACAGGAGGUCGAUCACUCAACUAAUUACCACUAUUAAUAAACUAUUACUACUAUUAAUACUAAUCCUACUACUAACUACUACUACUACUAUUAACUUACUACAUUGUGAAUUAAUUUGUGAUUGAUUACACACCAUUGUAUAGAACCAUAAAGCUCACCGUUGGAAUUAUUUAAGAAAAAAAACUAUACAGUUAUAGAUGGUAUUUUGUACAGUAAUUAGAAUAGAUGUAUCAUUUCAUAGUCAGUUUUUUAAUGUAAUAAAUUAUUUGAGUGUAAAAAAAUGCGUCACGUAGGUCACGUAGCGAAGAGAACUUUUUAUGGUAAUUUAUGAUGUAAUUUGCUAUAAUUUAACCAAAAAUCUGAUUUGAAGUGGAUAUAUUUUUCUUUACCAUGUAAAUAACUUGCAUUUACAUUUAAAUGUUGUCGGGUGUUUCGAAUUUAAUCUCCCAGAAGAGGCCAUUCGCCGGGCAUUAUCCCCUGUUGUACUGUUUAUACCUAAUUUAAUUUAAUUUUCUGUAGGUGCGAAAGUUCUAAUUAAUUAAUUAAUUAACACUGUACGAAUUAUUUGUUAUCGUUUUAAUUUAUUGAGAAAAAGGUGCUUUAAGGUUUCUGAGGACAACUUUGUUCAUGUUCAUCCGUGAAAUAUUUUUUCCUUCAACACUAUUUGCUGUCGUAUACUUUUCAUGUGUGUAAAAUGUUCAUAUCUGCAUAUAUCGAGAAUGUUUUUUCGGUGGGAAAAAGCUUCCUCUCUUAUUUCAGAAAUAAAUUAUUCAGACAAAAAUU